GAUAAAAUAAAAAUAUUUGGCAUCAAAAUAGUCAAUGUCACAUUGGAAAAAUUAAUCUGUUGAACCUUACAUGGGAUAGAUCAUGCUAAUAAAGCAUAAGGAGUAAACCACUGCUCCUAUUAAGCAGGUACUUAACCACCACUGACAUCAAAGCCAGUUCAACAAUAUACAACUUCACUGAUGGCAAAAGUUUAAAAUUACAAUUUGCACACUUCUGAGUUAAAUAAAAAGAACAAGAAAAAUAUACAGUUCUGGAACUAAUACAGACUCACACACAGAUUCCUCCUUCAAUGUCCCAUGUGCCAUUUGAAUUUGCAAGCUGAACUAAUUUAAUUGACAGAUGAAUAUACCUGACCAACUCACAGAACUGCUAAUAUUUUGGGUACCAAAACAUACCUUUAAUGCCCUCUGGAUCAGGUUCAAAACCUAAAUUCCGAUAGAACUCCACAACUGCAAUGGCAAAGUGGUAAAACAACGUGAAACUCCACAAUCAAAAUAUCCAUACAGGUACUUAUCCUGGAGGAAAAAUCAAUAGGGUACAAAGGCAUAUCCCAAAAUAGGACCAUGAACUAAAUAAACACAAUUGGGCAAGGUAAGAUUAAUGAAUAUGGUGAGAAAGAAUGUCAUUUUUUAGCCCACACAUACAUGGAGAAUUUGAGAACCAUUUUGUGUAUGCCAUUAGCAAAAGAGCAAAAAAAAUUUAAUGGACUUGGAUUCCACUACAAAGAGUGAACACAUUUUAAUGAGAUGUUAUACCUUGACUAUCUGCAAAAAGUGUUAUAUUUCCAAUGUCCCUUUGUAGAAGUGCCCUAAUAAGCUUUUCAAUAAGAGCCUUGCCAAGACCUUGGCCCUGAAAGGAAAAGGCAUUUUUAGAAAGCAAUAAAGUUAACACAGAAUCAACAAAGGAAUUCUCAUAAAAUUAAAAUUAACCAUAUGUAGUUGUGACAAAUGACGGUGUAUUCACCCCAAGGUGGAAUGACUGAUUCAAAAUACCACAGUGCUUUGUUUCCACACAUUGCACAUAACUUUUUCAUGUCUUAAACCAUGUCCAAAUGGAAAGAUAUAGGGAAAAAAGCUACAAUGACGAUGGGAAUGUAAUCCGCCUAGUAAACCAUCUUCAAGUUUGUCCAUGUUCAAAGAAAAGUUAUCUUGAUCACAAAUCGCUCCAGUACAUGGAACAAAAACAGGAAAACAAGCAUCAUGGUCUUCAAAAUGUGCUCUUUGGAUUGCUUAAUAAGAACAAAAUACAAUUAUCUGAAACCUAAAACACUUAAUAGGUUAGAAAAACUCAUGCAGAUAAGAUUAAUAACCCUAAUCUCCCUUCUUUAAAACUUGAUUCCAUGUGUUAUCUGCUUGAAUUUUGCCCUCCAUAAAAACAUUAGUAGGUUGGUUACUUAGGGCCUGUUUAGUUUAACUGUUGGAUGCAACUAAUAGCUGUUAACUUAUAGCUGAUAGCUGAUAACUGAUGAUAGCUGAUUUAUGCCAAAUAUUUGAUAAAAUUAUGUUUAGCUGUUACUAUUGUUAAUAUGUAAAAUGACUAAUAAGAGUAUAUAUCAUAUAAUUUAUUCUAUUAUAAAAAUAAAUAUAAA
rnacentral:misc_RNA from 1 species